GCCAGUGUCGCAUAAUCCGGUAGUGCGGUGGUCUCGAAAACCGCUGGGCUUUGCCUAUCCAGGUUCGAAUCCUGGCGCUGGCG
rnacentral:tRNA from 1 species